rnacentral:rRNA from 1 species
UGGGGAAUUUUGGACAAUGGGGGAAACCCUGAUCCAGCCAUGCCGCGUGUAUGAAGAAGGCCUUAGGGUUGUAAAGUACUUUUGUUAGGGAAGAAAAGCUAGUUUUUAAUAAAAAUUAGUGAUGACGGUACCUAAAGAAUAAGCACCGGCUAACUACGUGCCAGCAGCCGCGGUAAUACGUAGGGUGCAAGCGUUAAUCGGAAUUAUUGGGCGUAAAGCGAGUGCAGACGGUUACUUAAGCCAGAUGUGAAAUCCCCAAGCUUAACUUGGGACGUGCAUUUGGAACUGGGUGACUAGAGUGUGUCAGAGGGAGGUAGAAUUCCACAUGUAGCGGUGGAAUGCGUAGAGAUGUGGAGGAAUACCGAUGGCGAAGGCAGCUUCCUGGGAUAACACUGACGUUGAGGCUCGAAAGCGUGGGGAGCAAACAGG